GGGGAUUUAGCUUAGUGGUAGAGCGCUUGCCUAGCAAGUGCAAGGCCUUGGGUUCGAUCCCCAGCUCUG
rnacentral:tRNA from 1 species